rnacentral:lncRNA from 1 species
GGGUGUUCCCAGGGCACGGGGCUCUGAGCAGGGGCUGGAGUGGGCCAGCCUCUUGGGACAGAAUGUGAGAAGGGCCUUGACUGACAGUGGAGAGCCACCACAGAGUGUUAAGCAGGUGUCUAGUUACCUAUUGCUGUGUAACAACUUAGCGUAAAACUUGGGGGCUGAAAACAGCAAUAAGCGUUUAUUAUCUCACGGUUUCUGUGGGUCAGGAAUUCAGAAGUGGCUGGACGGGCGGUUCUGCUCAGGCUCCCUCCGGAGGUGCAGUCAGAUGUCGGCCAGGCUGCAGCAUUGGACGACCCAGCUGGGGCAGGAAGAGCCAGACGUUCAGCGCCUCCCUGUUCCCACCCUCCUGAAUGUCUGAGGCCGAGAUGAGGGGCCUUCUCCUAUCCUGGCCUCAGCUGUAGGACUGGAGCACAGGUCGUGCUGUCACGUGGCCUGCGUGGACCCUGGGGAGCUUCGCACCUGCCUGCCUCCCAGCUGUGUGCUGACCCCGCCGCCUCUGCACAGCCCCUGGCUGAGCCUGCGCCAAUAAACCGCCACUGCUUGGCCAGC